rnacentral:rRNA from 1 species
ACGCACGCUGGCGGCGUGCUUCACACAUGCAAGUCGCACGGGAUUUAGUAAACAGACGCCUCGGUGGAAGAUUACUAAUGAGAGUGGCGAACGGGUGAGUAACGCGUGAGCAACCUGCCUAUGACAGUGGGAUAGCCUCGGGAAACCGGGAUUAAUACCGCAUAAAAUCGUAGAAACACAUGUUUUAACGGUCAAAGAUUUAUCGGUCAUAGAUGGGCUCGCGUCUGAUUAGCUAGUUGGUGAGAUAACAGCCCACCAAGGCGACGAUCAGUAGCCGGUCUGAGAGGAUGAACGGCCACAUUGGAACUGAGACACGGUCCAAACUCCUACGGGAGGCAGCAGUGGGGAAUAUUGCACAAUGGGGGAAACCCUGAUGCAGCGACGCCGCGUGAACGAAGAAGGUAUUCGUAUCGUAAAGUUCUGUCCUAUGGGAAGAUAAUGACAGUACCAUAGAAGAAAGCUCCGGCUAAAUACGUG